rnacentral:rRNA from 1 species
UACGAAGGGUGCAAACGUUGCUCGGAAUUAUUGGGCGUAAAGCGCACGUAGGCGGCUUUGCAAGUCGGAUGUGAAAUCCCUCGGCUUAACCAAGGAAGUGCAUCCGAAACUGCAGAGCUUGAGUACUUAAGAGGAUCGCGGAAUUCCCGGUGUAGAGGUGAAAUUCGUAGAUAUCGGGAGGAACACCAGUGGCGAAGGCGGCUCACUGGCCCGGUACUGACGCUGAGGUGCGAAAGCGUGGGGAGCAAACAGG